AGCGAACGCUGGCGGCAGGCUUAACACAUGCAAGUCGAACGCCCGUAGCAAUACGGGAGUGGCAGACGGGUGAGUAACGCGUGGGAACAUGCCCUUUGGUUCGGAAUAACUCAGGGAAACUUGAGCUAAUACCGGAUAAGCCCGAGAGGGGAAAGAUUUAUCGCCGAAGGAUUGGCCCGCGUCCGAUUAGCUAGUUGGUGAGGUAAUGGCUCACCAAGGCGACGAUCGGUAGCUGGUCUGAGAGGAUGAUCAGCCACACUGGGACUGAGACACGGCGCAGACUCCUACGGGAGGCAGCAGUGGGGAAUAUUGGACAAUGGGGGCAACCCUGAUCCGGCCAUGCCGCGUGAGUGAUGAAGGCCCUAGGGUUGUAAAGCUCUUUCGGCGGGGACGAUAAUGACGGUACCCGCAGAAGAAGCCCCGGCUAACUUCGUGCCAGCCGCCGCAGUAAGAC
rnacentral:rRNA from 1 species